CUUCAUAAUCAUCCAUCCGAGUGUUUUAACACGCUCUUCUACCAUUAGAUAUUGACACAGCUAUCUAUGAAGCACCCAACCAGAACUAGAAGUUGUCGAGUUUGGACAAGAUUUACAAGGGGAGAAAUAUGGACGUCAUAUCAUUUAGCACCCUGUAUAUUACUUCAGGCAAUCCUGAAUUUCCCUGACGUUUUUUCUCCGACUAAAGACACAAAAAUACAAUAACGGAACAAGUGCGUUUCAGUCACUGGGCGAGGUCUCGAGUAAACUUACUAAUGGGUAUCGGUUAAACAUGACAUCUAUCGAACGAGACUACAUAUUUAUGCAAAUGCAAUGUAGUUUCCAAGAUUCAAUACCAUAUGAUUGCAUUUGCAGUAACCUUCAUCCGGAGCUAAAUAGAAUUUAAAGUUGCUAUAGUCAACGCAAUACAACCGUGUGAUUUCUAACAAAUAAAGUUGCUAUGGUCAUCUACUUUCUACCUUGAAAGCUGAAACCUUGCCAUUACCGAAUCCAUCAUCGAGAUCUGUUUCCGAUAGAUCACCACUCUCAAAGAAGGAGAAGUGAAGGGCCUUAACACAUCUUUCUGCCUCGUCAUC